GCCAGGUGUGGUGGCGGGCGCCUGUAGUCCCAGCUACUCGGGAGGCUGAGGCAGGAGAAUUGCUUGAACCCAGGAUGUGGAGGUUGCAGUGAGCUGAGAUUGCACCACUGCACCCCAGCCUGGGUGACAGAGUAAGACUCUGUCUCAA
rnacentral:SRP_RNA from 1 species